GAAUUUACAAGAACUGAGCAGGACUGCCAAGGACAGAGGGAAUCCAUUCACAGGGUCACCAGAGAUGACUUGAUAGCACAGAACCACAAAAACAAAAGCCUCUGUAUUGUCCUGAGACAAGUGAUUCGAAAAAGUAGAUACUUCCAUCACCUUUGUGAAUGUCUGUAACAUGCCUCAUUGAAUGAUGUGUCCUAAAUUAAGAAUAUCAUUACUUCUGUUUUAGUGGAAUUUUAUGAAGCUAACGUUAAUGCCAUCACAUGUCUGAACCCACAAGAGACAUUUUGACGGCCUGCACUGGGGACAAAACUGGUAUUUAAAAGGAAGGAACAUCAAAAUAAUUAUGCUGGGGGAAAAGGAAAUGCUUAAGUGUUCUAUUUCUCUGUCAGUCUUGAAGGUAUCUAACCAUUUAUUUCCCUGAAGGAAUUCUUCAAACUGAGAUAUUUCAGCAUUUUUGAAGUUGCUAAUUGCUAAGUUUAUUUGGCAAGUAUUAUUUUAGAUAAAGUCAUAAAAACUAGAAAGUCACAUAGUUUAGGGUGUCACAUCAUUGGCCUGGUUUAGGCUGUAAUCCCAUGCACAUUUAUCUGGAAGUGAGCCCCACAAAAGUCAACAAAGCGCAUCUUCUGCAGGUACAGAUUGAAUUGGAUUUGUUGGGCUCUAUAGCAGGGGCACAACACACCUCUUGCUCCUCUCCUGCAAAUGAUCCUUUGGUGUUCUAUGUAACAAGGUGGGGUGGACAAACCAUGUAAAUCAGGGCUAUUCAUGAUAGGCAUCCAUCCUGAAUGUUCAGAUCGGGUUGGUCCCUUCUAUAUUGCCUCAAAGAGGACAUGCAUCACCAGGCAGAGGCACAGAAGAGGGCAAUUUGUGAUGCUUACUUGUGAUGCUUCCUCACUGUCAGAGCAAUACGGCAGUGGAACCAGCUGCCUAGAGAGGUGGUGGGCUCUCCCACACUAGAGAAAUUCAAAAGAAACUGGAUAGCCAUCUGAGUGGGAUGGUGUAACUUGGUGUCCUGCAACAGCAGGGGGCUGGGCUUGAUGGCCUUCAUAUCCCCUUCCAACUCUACUAUUCUAUGAUUCUCUGAACAAAUGGAAAUUUAGAGGGCUUUACUACAUUCAUUCAUUCAUUCAUUCAUUCAUUCAUUCAAUGAGGGAGGGAGCAACUGUCAUCUGUGCACCUUCUAAACCUGUUAUCCUGGUGCCAAAUGUUGAUAAGCAACUUUGAUCUGUUUCUUGAUUGUUCAACUGGUUCUCAACUAAAUAGGUCACACGGCCACCCUGUGCUGAUGCCUCUUGAGAUUAUCUGCCUACUGCAGGACAAGGGAUGCCAAGAUUCUCACUGGUAGGAGUGCCAACAUGUUCUCAUAGAACUUGGGGCUGAGCAGCCUUUCUGUUGAGGACUGCAUUGCCUUGUGGGUAAUUUGUUGGGGGAGGCACAAGUUGGCAAGGGGUAGGGUAGAAAUCAAAAAGGCGCAGGCCUAGUGUCCAAAGUGGAGAGGUCCGCCCUUCUCUCCUUCCACUAUUGCCUUUUCUAUUUCCUGUCUUUCUUCCUAUUCAGGGGGCUGCCAAGAAAGGGUCAGAUAUUUCUUUCCAGAGGACUACUGAAAUUAAAAUGAUGGCUGCAUGAAAAUAGGAAGUCUCCCACUUGCUAUCUACUACUCACUAACUAGCCUGAACUCAGUUGAAUCUGUCGCCUGUUUCCUCUCUCCGCCAUGAGGACCCUCGCAUUAUACUGGCCUCACCACUAAUUCAUAUUCUCUAGGGUGCACACUUAUGAAUCACCAAAAUUGAGGAUAAAGAGAAUGUGGAUGCGCCUAAAACUUACUUGUGCCACGUUAUAGAAUGCACUUGUUCAUUUCAGUACAGCAGUAAAGAGACCAGGCAGCCAGUCAUGUGAGAUGUGCAACAGCUAAAGAACCGAGCAAAAAAUGAGCAGCAGCGCUAUCCUCUAAAUCAGAAUAGGCUACAAACAGUUGCAUCUCUGUCCUUGGUGCUUGGAUCAAGACUAGCCAGCUCUCGAGUUUUGUACCGCAACCAACAUGCUCCCACCUCUCCUCCGCCCUGCCCUGUUGGCAUGGUGUUCCCAUGGCAUCAUUUGACUGGAUGGUGCUGGUGAUUCAGCCAGAAUUGGGGAAAAAGCGGAACGGCCAAGAUCAGCAGUCAAGCAAAUGUCCAGGAAGAAUUGCUGUCUUGCUACCUGAGGAUCACUCCCACUUUGCACUCAUGGUCCUGAGUUACUUGUCUGAGUUUGCAUUUUCUGUGUCAUGAUUUGCUGAAGGAGCAUUAAAAUGUGCAUUCAAAGAA